CAGUCGCCGCGGGAAUACGUAGGUGGCUAGCGUUGCUCGGAAUGACUGGGCGUAAAGGGCGCGUAGGCGGAUGGCACAGUCAGAUGUGAAAUUCCCGGGCUUAACCUGGGGGCUGCAUUUGAUACGUGUUGUCUAGAGUGAGGAAGAGGGUUGUGGAAUUCCCAGUGUAGAGGUGAAAUUCGUAGAUAUUGGGAAGAACACCGGUGGCGAAGGCGGCAACCUGGUCCUUGACUGACGCUGAGGCGCGAAAGCGUGGGGAGCAAACAGGAUUAGAUACCCCGGUAGUCCCUGUCUCUUAUAC
rnacentral:rRNA from 1 species